AUUGAACGCUGGCGGCAUGCUUUACACAUGCAAGUCGAACGGCAGCGCGGGGCAACCUGACGGCGAGUGGCGAACGGGUGAGUAAUACAUCGGAACGUACCCAGAAGUGGGGGAUAACGUAGCGAAAGUUACGCUAAUACCGCAUACGUUCUACGGAAGAAAGUGGGGGACCUUCGGGCCUCAUGCUUUUGGAGCGGCCGAUGUCUGAUUAGCUAGUUGGUGAGGUAAAGGCUCACCAAGGCGACGAUCAGUAGCUGGUCUGAGAGGACGACCAGCCACACUGGGACUGAGACACGGCCCAGACUCCUACGGGAGGCAGCAGUGGGGAAUUUUGGACAAUGGGCGCAAGCCUGAUCCAGCAAUGCCGCGUGAGUGAAGAAGGCCUUCGGGUUGUAAAGCUCUUUUGUCAGGGAAGAAACGGCUGAGGAUAAUACCUUCGGCUAAUGACGGUACCUGAAGAAUAAGCACCGGCUAACUACGUG
rnacentral:rRNA from 1 species